rnacentral:rRNA from 1 species
UACGUAGGGGGCAAGCGUUGUCCGGAAUUAUUGGGCGUAAAGAGCUCGUAGGCGGUUUGUUGCGUCGGCUGUGAAAUCCCGCGGCUCAACCGUGGAACUGCCUUAGAUACUGACGGCCUCGAGGGAGGUAGGGGCGAGCGGAACUGUGAGUGGAGCGGUGAAAUGCGUUGAUAUUCACAGGAACUCCGGUGGCGAAGGCGGCUCGCUGGACCUCUUACUGACGCUGAGGCGCGAAAGCUAGGGGGGCAAACGGG